CUACGGGUGGCAGCAGUGGGGAAUAUUGCACAAUGGGCGCAAGCCUGAUGCAGCCAUGCCGCGUGUGUGAAGAAGGCCUUCGGGUUGUAAAGCACUUUCAGCGGGGAGGAAGGCGGUGAGGUUAAUAACCUCAUCGAUUGACGUUACCCGCAGAAGAAGCACCGGCUAACUCCGUGCCAGCAGCCGCGGUAAUACGGAGGGUGCAAGCGUUAAUCGGAAUUACUGGGCGUAAAGCGCACGCAGGCGGUCUGUCAAGUCGGAUGUGAAAUCCCCGGGCUCAACCGGGGAACUGCAUUCGAAACUGGCAGGCUAGAGUCUUGUAGAGGGGGGUAGAAUUCCAGGUGUAGCGGUGAAAUGCGUAGAGAUCUGGAGGAAUACCGGGGGCGAAGGCGGCCCCCUGGACAAAGACUGACGCUCAGGUGCGAAAGCGUGGGGAGCAAACAGGAUUAGAUACCCAGUAGUC
rnacentral:rRNA from 1 species